AUUCAGCACAGAACCCGACGCAGGGCUCAAACCCACGAACCAUGAGAUCAUGACCUGAGCCAAAGUCAGACACUUAACUGACUGAGCCACCCAGGCGCCCCUGUCAUUUAAGUAUUUACUAGAUGUGUUAGGAACAUGAGAGCCGAAAAGGAGCCAGUGUGGUAUGUGGCUUGUGGAUAGAAUUUUUUUUCCCCCAUGUUUAAAAGUCUUUUCUCAUUACUAGAAAGAGUGGAUAAAAAAUCAGAAUGAAGGUAUAAAUGUAUUCUGACGUUGAUAGUUUGGAGCUGUUCCAAACUUUGCUGUUGUGACAUUAUCCCCGUGUUCUGGUGCUUAUGUGCAUUAAUUUCUGUGGGACGCAUCUUGUCUAGAAGUAGAAUUGCUGGAUUGUAAAACCUGUACAUCUUUAAUAGGUAGGACCAAAUAUUUAAGGGGCUGUAUCACAUUACACUUCUACAGCAGUAUUAGAGGUCUCAUUGCUCUGCAUUCUCAUCCACACUUAAUUUUGUUAGACUUGAAUUUUUGCUAAUCAGGUGGGUGUAGAAUAAAAUAGUAUAUCAUUAUGGUUUUGAUUUGUAUUUCCUUGACUACUAAGGAGAUUGAUAACCUUAUGUUUAUUGUCAAUUUAGAUAUCUUUUGUGAGGACUCUGUUCCAAACAUAAAUGUUUUGUUGUUACUAGGCAGUCUGUUAUUAGGUAGUCUGUAUUACUGAUUUUUUUAUAUUACUAAUUUUUUAGGAGUUCUAAUUGGGGGGCUUGGCCAUUUCAGUUAUGUGUAGAGAAAAUAUCUUUUAUAGCUUUUUUCAUGUUAUGAAUAAUAUUCUUAACCUUAAAACUAUCUGAGGUGAUGGAAGUUAACUUUUUGUGGUAAUCAUUUGUCAGUAUAUGUAUCUAUCAAAUCAUUAUGGUGUAUAGUUACACAGUAUAUGUCAAUUACAUCUCAAUAAAACAUGGCAUUGGCAGGGGAAAAACUUUUUCUGCCCAGAAUGCAUUAUUAUUUUAA